rnacentral:rRNA from 1 species
AAGAGUUUGAUCAUGGCUCAGAUUGAACGCUGGCGGCAUGCCUUACACAUGCAAGUCGAACGGUAACAGGGAGCUUGCUCCGCUGACGAGUGGCGAACGGGUGAGUAAUGUAUCGGAACGUGCCAUAGAGUGGGGGAUAACUAUCCGAAAGGAUAGCUAAUACCGCAUAUUCUCUCCGGAGGAAAGCAGGGGACCGCAAGGCCUUGCGCUCUUUGAGCGGCCGAUAUCAGAUUAGCUAGUUGGUGAGGUAAAGGCUCACCAAGGCGACGAUCUGUAGCGGGUCUGAGAGGAUGAUCCGCCACACUGGAACUGAGACACGGUCCAGACUCCUACGGGAGGCAGCAGUGGGGAAUUUUGGACAAUGGGGGCAACCCUGAUCCAGCCAUGCCGCGUGAGUGAAGAAGGCCUUCGGGUUGUAAAGCUCUUUCGGCCGGGAAGAAAUCGCACAGGCCAAUACCCUGUGUGGAUGACGGUACCGGAAUAAGAAGCACCGGCUAACUCUGUGCCAGCAGCCGCGGUAAUACAGAGGGUGCGAGCGUUGUUCGGAAUCACUGGGCGUAAAGAGCACGUAGGCGGGCUUACCAGCCAAUUGUGAAAUCCCCGAGCUCAACUUGGGAAUUGCAGUUGGAACAGUAAGUCUUGAAUCUCUCAGAGGGUGACGGAAUUCCUGGUGUAGAAGUGAAAUUCAUAGAUAUCAGGAGGAACACCGGAGGCGAAGGCGGUUGCCUGGGGGUAGAUUGACGCUGAGGUGCGAAAGCGUGGGUAGCAAACAGGAUUAGAUACCCUGGUAGUCCACGCCAUAAACGAUGGAUACUAGGUGCUCGAAUGUUUAACCGUUUGGGUACCGUAGCAAACGCAUUAAGUAUCCCGCCUGGGGAGUACGGUCGCAAGGCUAAAACUCAAAGGAAUUGACGGGGGCCCGCACAAGCGGUGGAGCAUGUGGUUUAAUUCGAUGCAACGCGAAGAACCUUACCUGGUCUUGACAUGCAGUGAACUUUGCAGAAAUGUAUUGGUGCCUUCGGGAACACUGACACAGGUGCUGCACGGCUGUCGUCAGCUCGUGUCGUGAGAUGUUGGGUUAAGUCCCGCAACGAGCGCAACCCCUGUCCCUAGUUGCCAGCACGUUAUGGUGGGAACUCUAGGGAGACUGCCGGUGACAAACCGGAGGAAGGUGGGGAUGACGUCAAGUCCUCAUGGCCCUUAUGGGUAGGGCUUCACACGUCAUACAAUGGUCGGUACAGAGGGUUGCCAACCCGCGAGGGGGAGCCAAUCCCACAAAGCCGAUCGUAGUCCGGAUCGCAGUCUGCAACUCGACUGCGUGAAGUCGGAAUCGCUAGUAAUCGUGGAUCAGCAUGUCACGGUGAAUACGUUCCCGGGUCUUGUACACACCGCCCGCCACACCAUGGGAGUGGGUUCCACCAGAAGUAGGUAGUCUAACCGCAAGGGGGGCGCUUACCACGGUGGGAUUCAUGACUGGGGUGAAGUCGUAACAAGGUAACCGUA